CGGACUCAUAUUGAAACCUAGUGAAGUAUGAGUUAGUGGCGGACGGGUGAGUAACGCGUGGAAAACCUGCCGUAUACUGGGGGAUAACACUUAGAAAUAGGUGCUAAUACCGCAUAAGCGCACAGCUUCGCAUGAAGCAGUGUGAAAGACUGAGGUGGUAUACGAUGGUUCCGCGUCUGAUUAGCUAGUUGGUGGAGUAAAAGCCUACCAAGGCAACGAUCAGUAGCCGGCCUGAGAGGGUGAACGGCCACAUUGGGACUGAGACACGGCCCAAACUCCUACGGGAGGCAGCAGUGGGGAAUAUUGCACAAUGGGGGAAACCCUGAUGCAGCGACGCCGCGUGAGUGAAGAAGUAUUUCGGUAUGUAAAGCUCUAUCAGCAGGGAAGAAAUACUGACCAUAGGGUCAGCAGACGGUACUUGACUAAGAAGCCCCGGCUAACUACGUGCCAGCAGCCGCGGUAAUACGUAGGGGGCAAGCGUUAUCCGGAUUUACUGGGUGUAAAGGGAGCGUAGACGGCAGCGCAAGUCUGAAGUGAAAUGCCAGGGCUUAACCCUGGAACUGCUUUGGAAACUGUGCAGCUAGAGUGCAGGAGAGGUAAGUGGAAUUUCUAGUGUAGCGGUGAAAUGCGUAGAUAUUAGGAGGAACACCAGUGGCGAAGGCGGCUUACUGGACUGUAACUGACGUUGAGGCUCGAAAGCGUGGGGAGCAAACAGGAUUAGAUACCCUGGUAGUCCACGCUGUAAACGAUGAUUACUAGGUGUUGGGGGACCAAGGUUCUUCGGUGCCGUC
rnacentral:rRNA from 1 species